CGGGUGAGUAAUGCAUAGGAAUCUGCCCAGUAGCGGGGGAUAACCCGGGGAAACUCGGGCUAAUACCGCAUACGCCCUGCGGGGGAAAGUGGGGGAUCUUCGGACCUCACACUAUUGGAUGAGCCUAUGUCGGAUUAGCUUGUUGGUGGGGUAAUGGCCCACCAAGGCGACGAUCUGUAGCUGGUCUGAGAGGACGACCAGCCACACUGGGACUGAGACACGGCCCAGACUCCUACGGGAGGCAGCAGUGGGGAAUAUUGGACAAUGGGGGCAACCCUGAUCCAGCAAUGCCGCGUGUGUGAAGAAGGCCUGCGGGUUGUAAAGCACUUUCAGCAGGGAAGAAAAGCUUGGCGUUAAUACCGCCAAGUCUUGACGUUACCUGAAGAAGAAGCACCGGCUAACUCUGUGCCAGCAGCCGCGGUAAUACAGAGGGUGCAAGCGUUAAUCGGAAUUACUGGGCGUAAAGCGCGCGUAGGCGGUCGCGUAAGUUAGAUGUGAAAGCCCCGGGCUUAACCUGGGAAUUGCAUGUAAGACUGCGUAACUAGAGUAUGGGAGAGGCGGGUAGAAUUCCAGGUGUAGCGGUGAAAUGCGUAGAUAUCU
rnacentral:rRNA from 1 species